AUACGGAGGGUGCAAGCGUUGUUCGGAAUCACUGGGCGUAAAGGGCGCGCAGGCGGUUUGGUAAGUCAGAUGUGAAAGCCCAUGGCUCAACCAUGGAAGUGCAUUUGAAACUGUCAGACUUGAGUACUAGAGGGGAAAGUGGAAUUCCCGGUGUAGUGGUGAAAUUCGUAGAUAUCGGGAGGAAUACCGGUGGCGAAGGCGACUUUCUGGCUAGAUACUGACGCUGAGGCGCGAAAGCGUGGGGAGCAAACAGGAUUAGAAACCCCAGUAGUCC
rnacentral:rRNA from 1 species